rnacentral:rRNA from 1 species
AUUGAACGCUGGCGGCAGGCUUAACACAUGCAAGUCGAGCGGAGCGAGGGUGCUUGCACCUUAGCUUAGCGGCGGACGGGUGAGUAAUGCUUAGGAAUCUGCCUAUUAGUGGGGGACAACAUUCCGAAAGGGAUGCUAAUACCGCAUACGCCCUACGGGGGAAAGCAGGGGAUCUUCGGACCUUGCGCUAAUAGAUGAGCCUAAGUCGGAUUAGCUAGUUGGUGGGGUAAAGGCCUACCAAGGCGACGAUCUGUAGCGGGUCUGAGAGGAUGAUCCGCCACAAUGGGACUGAGACACGGCCCAGACUCCUACGGGAGGCAGCAGUGGGGAAUAUUGGACAAUGGGCGGAAGCCUGAUCCAGCCAUGCCGCGUGUGUGAAGAAGGCCUUUUGGUUGUAAAGCACUUUAAGCGAGGAGGAGGCUACUAGUAUUAAUACUACUGGAUAGUGGACGUUACUCGCAGAAUAAGCACCGGCUAACUCUGUGCCAGCAGCCGCGGUAAAAC